UACGGAGGGUGCGAGCGUUGUUCGGAAUCACUGGGCGUAAAGCGCGUGUAGGCGGCCUCUUAAGUCUGGUGUGAAAGCCCGGGGCUUACCCCCGGAAGGGCACUGGAAACUGGGAGGCUGGAGUACCGGAGAGGAGGGCGGAAUUCCUGGUGUAGCGGUGAAAUGCGUAGAUAUCAGGAGGAACACCGGUGGCGAAGGCGGCCCUCUGGACGGAUACUGACGCUGAGACGCGAAAGCGUGGGGAG
rnacentral:rRNA from 1 species